rnacentral:lncRNA from 1 species
GCUUUUCAUUUUCCUGCCACUGAGCCUCACCCAUAUAAAUUAACCUUCAAUUAAGUUCUUAAUUUGGUAAAGCUUAAAUUACUUGAAUUUAAAUAUAGUAAUAUGGAUGAUCAUUAUCUACGAAACCUCCGAAAUUCACCUUUUUCACUCUUGUAAUGCUUUGGACCUCAGCAAGUCGCCAAGAGUCCUUAUUUCUUCACCAAAUCACGAGACGGAGAAGUAUUUACUAAAUUACUUCAAUUUCGUCAUAUGGGACUCUGAGACAGUAAGUGUUUUUCCCUUUUAGUGGUGGAGGAUGCUAGAUAUGUAUUCCCCUCCUUGACGAAGGACUUUGGUCAGAGGAAGAUGAAAAACACCAAACUGAAUCCUCAUCCAUUGGAAUGACCCUUCUGACUCCAAGAUUACUAGCACAAUAGUUUUCCUAAUUUCAUAAUACGAGGGAUUUACCUAAGAACAUACUAUUUACUACAAUAUCUUUAUAAUCAAGCACGCUGAGGUUUCCGAGGAAGAGUUAUCAGUAUCAGCAUAAGCAUACGGAAAUGUGGGGAUAUAUUAUAUUAUUAUAUAAUAUAGGAGUUGAUUUAGCUUUUCUGUUAUAAAAAAAAUCUCGUCUUCCUGUAUUUCUUGUCCAAAUCCGUGUAUAAUAUCAAUAUAACUUUAAAUACUUAA